rnacentral:lncRNA from 1 species
CCACUGCAGUGACCGUUUAAUAUACCACCAGACCCAUAAAAAUUCCAUUAGCAUAAUAUGGCGAAUAAAAUGUAAUUCAGUCUACUGAGACCAAUCCAAAACUGUUCAUAUAUUUCAUGCCAAUCCCAAAAAUUUAGCCAUCAUGCUACCAUAGUGUCAUAAGCCACAAUUUCAAUAACAUAUAAAAUCGUAAAUUCAACACAGUCUCCAUAUACUCAAUUUUCCCAAAACAAUAUUAGAUUUCAAAACCAGU